rnacentral:rRNA from 1 species
UACGGAGGGAGCUAGCGUUGUUCGGAAUUACUGGGCGUAAAGCGCGCGUAGGCGGCUUUGUAAGUUAGAGGUGAAAGCCCGGGGCUCAACCCCGGAAUUGCCUUUAAGACUGCGUCGCUUGAAUCCGGGAGAGGUGAGUGGAAUUCCGAGUGUAGAGGUGAAAUUCGUAGAUAUUCGGAAGAACACCAGUGGCGAAGGCGACUUACUGGACACAUAUUGACGCUGAGGUGCGAAAGCGUGGGGAGCAAACAGG